rnacentral:rRNA from 1 species
GUCGUGAGUUCGAUGAGUAGGGCGGGACACGUGACAUCCUGUCUGAAUAUGGGGGGACCAUCCUCCAAGGCUAAAUACUCCUGACUGACCGAUAGUGAACCAGUACCGUGAGGGAAAGGCGAAAAGAACCCCGGCGAGGGGAGUGAAAUAGAACCUGAAACCGUGUACGUACAAGCAGUGGGAGCACCUUCGUGGUGUGACUGCGUACCUUUUGUAUAAUGGGUCAGCGACUUAUAUUUUGUAGCAAGGUUAACCGUAUAGGGGAGCCGUAGGGAAACCGAGUCUUAACUGGGCGAAUAGUUGCAAGGUAUAGACCCGAAACCCGGUGAUCUAGCCAUGGGCAGGUUGAAGGUUGGGUAACACUAACUGGAGGACCGAACCGACUAAUGUUGAAAAAUUAGCGGAUGACUUGUGGCUGGGGGUGAAAGGCCAAUCAAACCGGGAGAUAGCUGGUUCUCCCCGAAAGCUAUUUAGGUAGCGCCUCGUGAACUCAUCUUCGGGGGUAGAGCACUGUUUCGGCUAGGGGGCCAUCCCGGCUUACCAAACCGAUGCAAACUCCGAAUACCGAAGAAUGUUAUCACGGGAGACACACGGCGGGUGCUAACGUCCGUCGUGAAGAGGGAAACAACCCAGACCGCCAGCUAAGGUCCCAAAGUCAUGGUUAAGUGGGAAACGAUGUGGGAAGGCAUAGACAGCCAGGAUGUUGGCUUAGAAGCAGCCAUCAUUUAAAGAAAGCGUAAUAGCUCACUGGUCGAGUCGGCCUGCGCGGAAGAUGUAACGGGGCUAAACCAUGCACCGAAGCUGCGGCAGCGACGCUUAGGCGUUGUUGGGUAGGGGAGCGUUCUGUAAGCCGUUGAAGGUGGCCUGUGAGGGUUGCUGGAGGUAUCAGAAGUGCGAAUGCUGACAUAAGUAACGAUAAAGCGGGUGAAAAGCCCGCUCGCCGGAAGACCAAGGGUUCCUGUCCAACGUUAAUCGGGGCAGGGUGAGUCGACCCCUAAGGCGAGGCUGAAAAGCGUAGUCGAUGGGAAACAGGUUAAUAUUCCUGUACUUGGUGUUACUGCGAAGGGGGGACGGAGAAGGCUAGGCUAGCCGGGCGACGGUUGUCCCGGUUUAAGCGUGUAGGGGGUGUGACCUGGUAAAUCCGGUUGCAUAUCAACCCUGAGGCGUGAUGACGAUGCACUACGGUGCAGAAGUAGUUGAUGCCCUGCUUCCAGGAAAAUCCUCUAAGCUCCAGGUAACAUUAAAUCGUACCCCAAACCGACACAGGUGGUCAGGUAGAGAAUACCAAGGCGCUUGAGAGAACUCGGGUGAAGGAACUAGGCAAAAUGGUGCCGUAACUUCGGGAGAAGGCACGCUGGCAUGUAGGUGAAGUCCCUCGCGGAUGGAGCUGAAGCCAGUCGAAGAUACCAGCUGGCUGCAACUGUUUAAUAAAAACACAGCACUGUGCAAACACGAAAGUGGACGUAUACGGUGUGACGCCUGCCCGGUGCUGGAAGGUUAAUUGAUGGGGUCAGCCGCAAGGCGAAGCUCUUGAUCGAAGCCCCAGUAAACGGCGGCCGUAACUAUAACGGUCCUAAGGUAGCGAAAUUCCUUGUCGGGUAAGUUCCGACCUGCACGAAUGGCGUAAUGAUGGCCAGGCUGUCUCCACCCGAGACUCAGUGAAAUUGAACUCGCUGUGAAGAUGCAGUGUACCCGCGGCAAGACGGAAAGACCCCGUGAACCUUUACUAUAGCUUGACACUGAACAUUGAGCCUUGAUGUGUAGGAUAGGUGGGAGGCUUUGAAGCGUGGACGCCAGUCUGCGUGGAGCCAUCCUUGAAAUACCACCCUUUAAUGUUUGAUGUUCUAACUCGGCCCCAUAAUCUGGGGUGAGGACAGUGUCUGGUGGGUAGUUUGACUGGGGCGGUCUCCUCCCAAAGAGUAACGGAGGAGCACGAAGGUUAGCUAAUCACGGUCGGACAUCGUGAGGUUAGUGCAAAGGCAUAAGCUAGCUUGACUGCGAGAGUGACGGCUCGAGCAGGUACGAAAGUAGGUCUUAGUGAUCCGGUGGUUCUGAAUGGAAGGGCCAUCGCUCAACGGAUAAAAGGUACUCCGGGGAUAACAGGCUGAUACCGCCCAAGAGUUCAUAUCGACGGCGGUGUUUGGCACCUCGAUGUCGGCUCAUCACAUCCUGGGGCUGAAGUAGGUCCCAAGGGUAUGGCUGUUCGCCAUUUAAAGUGGUACGCGAGCUGGGUUUAGAACGUCGUGAGACAGUUCGGUCCCUAUCUGCCGUGGGCGUUGGAAGAUUGAGAGGGGUUGCUCCUAGUACGAGAGGACCGGAGUGAACGCACCACUGGUGUUCGGGUUGUCAUGCCAAUGGCAUUGCCCGGUAGCUAAGUGCGGAAAAGAUAAGCGCUGAAAGCAUCUAAGCGCGAAACUUGCCUCAAGAUGAGUCUUCCCUGGGCCUUUAAGGCCCCUGAAGGAACGUUUAAGACUAAGACGUUGAUAGGCUGGGUGUGUAAGUGCAGCGAUGCAUUGAGCUAACCAGUACUAAUGAUCCGUGAGGCUUAACCUU